CAUACAUCAGACCCAUAAUUAGCAAUGAACAAGAUUUGAAGGCAUAAAAAGUGAUAUGGUAAGUAAGAGUAGUAGUAGUCAUCAAGAACCAUGAAAUCUUUCCACCCAAUGAAAGAUUCCUAUCUUUGUGUGUCCCAUACCACCCCAAGAUAUGGAUGACACAGAAAAGGAGAAAGAGUGGGCCCAAAAGUUCCUGAAUUGGUCCCCUAUCUGCUAUACCCAAUCGAACAUAUAGUUUUGGAUGAACAUGGCAAUAUGUCAAUACGGCGGUGCAACUUUUUUUGCAGUAUGGCUUUUGGUGGCAGGUAAGGCCACACCUUUCUACUUUUAGAAUGUGUUAAUGCACCCAUUUAAUACAUAUAAAUAGUAUAUAAUAUAUAAUUUCAUACCUUAUAUAUAUAUGCACCAUGGUAAGUUAUUAUUAGCAACAUAUAUACGCUGAAGAAUGAAUGAAGUAGAAGAAGAAUAAGGUGGUUAUUCUUACUUCCUAGCCACGCCUAAGGGAAACUUGCAUGAAGAGGCAGAGUGUGUGAUGCAGCCAAGGAUGACUUGCCGGCAUUAAAACAUGACAUGACUCUGUUUGAGUUCGUGUUCGUGUUCGACUAUGACCGGCAAGUUGGCCUUGGCUAUAUUAGACUCUCUUCUUCUCAUGUAAGAACCAAACUUAGGCUCGUCAAUCAGUAUUGAAGCUGGAAAGGAUUUCUCUUGAGUAGUCCAUAUAGAUGACAAGUGCAGCUCUUUUUUUCAUUCUUUUAUGGAGGAGCUAGCUAGCUAGUGUACGUUGUAUUACUCUAUAUUAAGUAUUAAUUACUUGACUAAAUGGACUUGGUUCUUUUUUCUGAAUAUAUAUUGAUGAUAUUUGGUGACUAGAAAUAGGACACCCCAUGUUCUAUACAUAUAUUUUAUGGGGGUCCAUAUAGAUUUACUGGACCUAUGUACAGAAAUAACCUUAAAGAAAAGCGACAUGGAAGAAAAGUUGCGUUUGAUAUGAUAGCUCAUAGUUGAAUCAGAAUUCAGAAUAGGCGGAAUGGGCGAAAGGAAGAAAACAAAUUAGAGAAUGAAUGCUAUUUUUGUUUUUCCUUUAUCGAAGCAAAGACAUUACUCCUUGGCGGUGUAUGGGAGUAUAAAAUGAGACUUGAAUAUAUACGAUCAAAUUUUAAAUGAAAUGUAAAACAGAAUAAGGGACAAAUACUAAA